ACUCCCCUCCUUGUCUCAUCAUUAGGUAAUUUUCGUCAAUGGGCGCAAGCCUGAACGAGCGAUGCCGCGUGAGUGAAGAAGGCCUUCGGGUCGUAAAGCUCUGUUGCGGGGGAAAAAAGGCAGCAUCAGGAAAUGGGUGCUGACUGAUGGUGCCCCGCCAGAAAGUCACGGCUAACUACGUGCCAGCAGCCGCGGUAAUACGUAGGUGGCGAGCGUUAUCCGGAAUGAUUGGGCGU
rnacentral:rRNA from 1 species